CCUGUCUUCAAACAGGAGGGCUCUCCUUUUUGCUAUGGGACAGAAGAGUGGGAUAGGGAGACACACCCAGGAGAGGCAGUCCAGUCUCUGCGGUUUCAGGUGAGAGCCGAGGGGUGGGCCUGCAUCCCGGCGGGCUCUCUUCUGGUCGUCCAGGCCGCUGCAGACCAUCCUCUGGCCUGGCCAGGGUUUUGGAUACGAUGCUUCUGAAGGCCAUGGAGGUGUGGGAUACCCUUCUGAUUUGAAUCUUGUCAGAGGACUCAACCCCUUGACCACUGCUAGGGAGUGUAAGCUGACGUUUCAUCUUGGGUCAUCCAUGGACUUUACCUGGGCUCCGUUUGUUAUGCCGCCUCUUGCUGGGCAGACUAUUAUACAUCUGCAUAUUUUCAGGCUAACCCUGCUCUUUCUGGCUGUGGCCAGAGGAAAGUGUCUGGGGACAGACUCUCAGGCUGGCCAGCAUUGGAGGAGCUCCUGGUGUUGGACACACCCAGGGGCAGAUGCUUCCCUCUGGGACUUCAGUCCUGCUGCUGGUGCUGCUGAUGGAGGGAAGGCCUCAGGGCCACACGGGGCGCUGGACUGGGGAUGGCAGGCUUCUGCUCCAGGCUGGGUGGAGACCGGCAGGCUCCCUGGUCUUCUGCCCUGACUCCUGGGCCUCCUGCAGUUGUACCUUUUCUCCCUGCUUGAGCCACGUGGUAUGAGUGUGGACACCUCAGGCCUUGGAGAAGGCUCAAGUUAUGGCUGCUGAGGUCAGUGGAAGGGGAGAGCCUCGCAGUGAUGGAGCAGCCCUCCACCCAGUGUUCCCCGGAGCUCACAGUGCAGUGCCUGCUGCCUGUUCCCUGAGUCAUGGAUCAGGUCCCACCCCGACACCAGAGUCCUUACCACUGUCACCCCUCGGUCCUUGUCACAGGGUGGCACACAGAAUGGCCUGAGUGGCUCCUUCUGGCCCAGGUUCACCCAUGGAUGCCUCAUCAGUCAUUUAAGGUGCUUUUGUCACUGGGGUUGAGGACCAUAUUUUUUAGCAAAUUCCUUCUCUGAUGACCAACACAGGGGAAUGGGGUGUUGCCCUAUGAGGAUUCACAGCCACAGCUCUGAGAAGUCCUGUCCCCUAAAGGGCAGGGUCCCAGUCACCAUGGAGUAGAGAACUACUCCCAGACUCCACACAUCCACCACAGGGCAGUCAGAGCCCUGUCCCAGCAAGAAUUCUCAGGCAGCGUAAGUGCAGCUGCCAUAGAAAGUGUUGAGCUUCCCACUCUCAUCACACUCAUUGCUGAGGCCAAAGUCUGUAAUUUUCAUGUACUACUUGAUGUCAAAGAAGAGGUUCCCUGGCUUCAGGUCCUGGUGCAGGACGUGCCUCUGGUGGCCGUGCUGGAAGGCAGAGACCAGCUGCCGGAACAGCCCUUGGGCAUCAGCCUCUGUUAUGUCCCAUGGUCCUCGAAAUGGCUACACAUCUGCCUCACUGAGGCCCUCCAGCUCCAGGAAAACGGUGUUCUCUGUGUCAAUCACCUCCAGUAGUUUGACAGUAUUUCCAUGGUUUAGAUCCUUCAUGCCAGGAGCCAGCGUGGAGAAUCCUGCCCAUGGCAAAGGUCAUGAGGAGGAGGCCUGAUGGGCAAAGGCGAGAUCAGGCCUUGAGGGGCCCCCCUUCUCGAGCAUCUACCCCCAAACCAGAGUCUGUCUGUUUUUUCAUGACUUGCACUAACUCCUCUGACAUUAACAGAGGGCUGUCCCCAACCACCUUUCUCUGGAAAGAGUUAACUUAGGGCUCUAGUUGAUAAAUCUCCUGGGCAUGAGUGUUUCAAACCCCCUGUUAGCAUUCCAGCUUACUUGGCAGGUUUAUCCAGACUCUUGCAACAUUGUUGAGCCAUGCUUGCUGCCAAGUUCUCACAUCCCUUAUCCAUUGUGUUCCUGGGAGUGCAUAUAGUCAGGAUUUAGAAAUAACAAGCAGCAGUUUUAGCAUUAGCAACAUUAGACUUUGAGUUAAUAAGUUCUUUCUUUGCUGUAACCCGCUGAAUCUUUGCUCCAUAAAAAUGUAACUCUGUACUUUAAGGGUGAUGCAGGCUAGGAAUUUAAGAAGAAACACUGUAAGGGAAAACUAUUGUUCUGGCUGACCAACCUUUAUCAAAAAGAGGUCAUAAAGUAACAACAGGCCUCCAGGCCAGAAGAUAAUGUACAAAAAAUAAGACUCUAGCAAGAAGGAACCUGAUAUCACUAAAAGUUAAUACUGAUGGAAUGUUGAGUUGACUCUGCAUUUUUCACCUUGCUGUAUGUACAACUCAGGGUAUAAAAGCCCUCUCUGAAAAUAAAGUAAACGGGCCUCACUCACUGAAGCUUGGUCACCCCAUGUCUUUCUUUUUUUCUCUUUCUUAUUCUUUUUCAGCCUCCUCCGCUCUAUUUUCUUAUCUGCAACAUUCUUUCCUCAUCUCUUUCUCUUUCUUCAUUCGGGGAUGUCGUCCAUCCUGAGGAUAUCCCUGGACUCUGCUGAGGCUGGACCUCGGCACCUUCACACUGUUCACUUCCUGGAAGAGUCCUGGAGGCUGGAGGAGGGCUGAUGACUCUUCCUAAUGACCUUUAUGGCCAACUCUGUCCCAGUCAGAAUAUACCGGGCCCACUUUGGCAAACCAACCUUUACCAAUCAUGUAAAGAAUCGCAGUUCUCAAUAGAAGCCUUGUCCCCUGAAACGGCUGUGAGGCCCAGCAUCAUGAUGAUCUGCUGACUACACUGACUGCCAGCACUAACUAGCAAUGCUAACUGUGCUAACUGCGCUAACUAUACUCCUGCAGCAGGGAGUCCUCCAGGUUGGAGUGAAUGGCUCUGGAUAACAGCUCAAAAUGUUAAGAAGAAAUAAAGAUUUCCAGUAAAAGUAGAUAGACAAGCAAUUAGAAAAGCUACUAUUGUAACUGUGGUUUGUAGCUCCACUAUUUUAUUUUCUCUGAUAGAUGAGAUUAAUAAAAAGAAUUAAGCACCAUUUUUAGUGUGGUUAUGAAUUACUACUGUUGUUCAGUCACUAAACCAUGUCCAGUUCUCUGUGACCUCAUGGACUGUGCACACCAGGCUUCUCUUGCCCUCCAUUCUUCCCUGAAUUUGCUCAAAUUCAUGUCCAUUGAGUCAGUGAUCCCAUCUAACUAUGUCAUACUCUGAU
ensembl:lncRNA